rnacentral:rRNA from 1 species
UACGUAGGGUGCAAGCGUUAAUCGGAGUUACUGGGCGUAAAGCGUGCGCAGGCGGUUCGGAAAGAGAGGUGUGAAAUCCCAGGGCUUAACCUUGGAACUGCACUUCUAACUACCGGGCUAGAGUACGUCAGAGGGGGGUAGAAUUCCACGUGUAGCAGUGAAAUGCGUAGAGAUGUGGAGGAAUACCGAUGGCGAAGGCAGCCCCCUGGGAUGAUACUGACGCUCAUGCACGAAAGCGUGGGGAGCAAACAGG